rnacentral:tRNA from 1 species
AUUUAUAUAAUAUAUAAAAUUAUAUUUGACUUCCAAUCAAAAAAACUAGCCUCUAGUAUAAAUA